UACGUAGGGGGCAAGCGUUGUCCGGAUUUAUUGGGCGUAAAGAGCUCGUAGGCGGUUUGUCGCGUCUGCUGUGAAAACUGGAGGCUCAACCUCCAGCCUGCAGUGGGUACGGGCAAACUAGAGUGCGGUAGGGGAGAUUGGAAUUCUUGGUGUAGCGGUGGAAUGCGCAGAUAUCAGGAGGAACACCGAUGGCGAAGGCAGAUCUCUGGGCCGUAACUGACGCUGAGGAGCGAAAGCAUGGGGAGCGAACAGG
rnacentral:rRNA from 1 species